rnacentral:rRNA from 1 species
UACGUAGGGUGCAAGCGUUGCCCGGAUUUAUUGGGCGUAAAGGGCGCGUAGGCGGCUCUGCACGUUCGUUGUGAAAUCGCCCGGCUCAACUGGGCGGGGUCAGCGGAUACGGCAGAGCUUGAGCAAGCUAGGGGGCAAUGGAAUUCCCGGUGUAGUGGUGGAAUGCGUAGAUAUCAGGAGGAACACCAAUAGCGAAGGCAGCUCGCUGGGACGGUACUGACGCUAAGGCGCGAAAGCGUGGGGAGCGAACAGG